rnacentral:rRNA from 1 species
AUUGAACGCUGGCGGCAGGCUUAACACAUGCAAGUCGAGCGGGGGAAGGUAGCUUGCUACCGGACCUAGCGGCGGACGGGUGAGUAAUGCUAGGAAUCUGCCUAUUAGUGGGGGACAACAUCUCGAAAGGGAUGCUAAUACCGCAUACGUCCUACGGGAGAAAGCAGGGGAUCUUCGGACCUUGCGCUAAUAGAUGAGCCUAAGUCGGAUUAGCUAGUUGGUGGGGUAAAGGCCUACCAAGGCGACGAUCUGUAGCGGGUCUGAGAGGAUGAUCCGCCACACUGGGACUGAGACACGGCCCAGGCUCCUACGGGAGGCAGCAGUGGGGAAUAUUGGACAAUGGGGGGAACCCUGAUCCAGCCAUGCCGCGUGUGUGAAGAAGGCCUUAUGGUUGUAAAGCACUUUAAGCGAGGAGGAGGCUACUUUAGUUAAUACCUAGAGAUAGUGGACGUUACUCGCAGAAUAAGCACCGGCUAACUCUGUGCCAGCCGCCGCAGUAA